GCGUCUAUAGCUCAGUUGGCAGUAGCACUUGCCUUUUAAGCAAGGGGUCGGCAGUUCAAGGCUGCCUAGACGCA
rnacentral:tRNA from 1 species